GGAAAGAUGCCGGAGUGGUCGAACGGGACGGUCUCGAAAACCGUUGUACCCAUUCGGGUACCGAGGGUUCGAAUCCCUCUCUUUCCG
rnacentral:tRNA from 1 species